GGCCUUGUAGUUCAGUUUUGGUAAGAACAGCAGUCUGAAGAACUGCGAGUCGUCCGUUCGAGUCGGACCGAGGUCACCA
rnacentral:tRNA from 1 species